CCUACGGGAGGCAGCAGUGGGGAAUUUUGGACAAUGGGCGAAAGCCUGAUCCAGCAAUGCCGCGUGCAGGAAGAAGGCCUUCGGGUUGUAAACUGCUUUUGUACGGAACGAAACGGUCUGCUUUAAUACAGUGGGCUAAUGACGGUACCGUAAGAAUAAGCACCGGCUAACUACGUGCCAGCAGCCGCGGUAAUACGUAGGGUGCGAGCGUUAAUCGGAAUUACUGGGCGUAAAGCGUGCGCAGGCGGUUAUAUAAGACAGUUGUGAAAUCCCCGGGCUCAACCUGGGAAUUGCAUCUGUGACUGUAUAGCUAGAGUACGGUAGAGGGGGAUGGAAUUCCGCGUGUAGCAGUGAAAUGCGUAGAUAUGCGGAGGAACACCGAUGGCGAAGGCAAUCCCCUGGACCUGUACUGACGCUCAUGCACGAAAGCGUGGGGAGCAAACAGGAUUAGAUACCCUGGUAGUCCACGCCCUAAACGAUGUCAACUGGUUGUUGGGUGCAUUAGUACUCAGUAACGAAGCUAACGCGUGAAGUUGACCGCCUGGGGAGUACGGCCGCAAGGUUGAAACUCAAAUGAAUUGACGGCUGAGAGNGCGAGCGACGACGAGGGAGGAGG
rnacentral:rRNA from 1 species